UAGGGAAUCUUCGGCAAUGGACGAAAGUCUGACCGAGCAACGCCGCGUGAGUGAAGAAGGUUUUCGGAUCGUAAAACUCUGUUGGUAGAGAAGAACGUUGGUGAGAGUGGAAAGCUCAUCAAGUGACGGUAACUACCCAGAAAGGGACGGCUAACUACGUCGCA
rnacentral:rRNA from 1 species